rnacentral:rRNA from 1 species
UACGUAGGGGCAAGCGUUGUCCGGAUUUAUUGGGCGUAAAGAGCGUGUAGGCGGCCAGACAGGUCUGCUGUGAAAACUCGAGGCUCAACCUCGAGACGCCGGUGGAAACCGUUUGGCUAGAGUCCGGAAGAGGAGAGUGGAAUUCCUGGUGUAGCGGUGAAAUGCGCAGAUAUCAGGAAGAACACCCGUGGCUAAGGCGGCUCUCUAGUACGGUACUGACGCUGAGACGCGAAAGCGUGGGGAGCGAACAGG